AUUGAACGCUGGCGGCAGGCCUAACACAUGCAAGUCGAACGAGUGGCGGACGGGUGAGUAAUGUCUGGGAAACUGCCUGAUGUACGGUGCUAAGUACUGGAAACGUUAGCUAAUCCCGCAUACCAUCAGAUGUGCCCAGAUGGGAUUAGCUUGUGGGUGGGGUAACGGCUCACCAAGGCGACGAUCCCUAGCUGGUCUGAGAGGAUGACCAGCCACACGGGAACUGAGACACGGUCCAGACUCCUACGGGAGGCAGCAGUGGGGAAUAUUGCACAAUGGGCGCAAGCCUGAUGCAGCCAUGCCGCGUGUAUGAAGAAGGCCUUCGGGUUGUAAAGUACUUUCAGCGGGGAGGCGUUACCCGCAGAAGAAGCACCGGCUAACUCCGUGCCAGCAGCCGCGGUAAUUC
rnacentral:rRNA from 1 species